CGUGGGUAACCUGCCUCAUACAGGGGGAUAGCAGCUGGAAACGGCUGAUAAAACCGCAUAGGCGCACAGCAUCGCAUGAUGCAGUGUGAAAAACUCCGGUGGUAUGAGAUGGACCCGCGUCUGAUUAGCUUGUUGGUGAGGUAACGGCCCACCAAGGCGACGAUCAGUAGCCGGCCUGAGAGGGUGACCAGCCACAUUGGGACUGAGACACGGCCCAA
rnacentral:rRNA from 1 species